rnacentral:lncRNA from 1 species
GACCUUAGAUGAAAGGGACAUAUAAUCACACAUAAAACUUUAUAGAUCAUCAAUUAAAAUCAAAGGUACAUUAAUGUAUUCAAUUAUUUAAAAAUUCAAUAAUUUAAUUUUUUUUCCACAUCUCCGCUUCUACACCAUUGUUCUAAUUGUUUAAGUUCUCGUUGAAUAAUAGUGUUAAUCACACUAUUAAUUGUAAAAAAAAUGUGUUUUAGUUUAUGAGUAUGAAUAUGGGAUGUGUUAUUUUUUGAUUUCCAUCGAUUGCAAGUU